rnacentral:lncRNA from 1 species
GAGUAUUACCUCCGCCAUGCAAUUUCCACUAUCAAUAAUUUAACUUCUUUGCUGCAGAACAGAAGGAGUACAUACCGGGCACCAAAGACUCGCGCCCCCUCCCCCCUUUAAUUAAGCGAAGGGAACGUGAAAAAAUAAUAGAGUGUGGGAGUUUUGGGGCCGAAGUCUUUCCCGGAGCAGCUGCCUUGAUGGUUACUUUGACAAGUAGUGACUGAAAAUUCCACCAGGUGAGAAGAGUGAUGACCAUCCUUUUCCUUACUAUGGUUAUUUCAUACUUUGGUUGCAUGAAGGCUGCCCCCAUGAAAGAAGCAAACAUCCGAGGACAAGGUGGCUUGGCCUACCCAGGUGUGCGGACCCAUGGGACUCUGGAGAGCGUGAA